rnacentral:rRNA from 1 species
GAUGAACGCUGGCGGCGUGCUUAACACAUGCAAGUCGAACGAUGAAGCCCAGCUUGCUGGGUGGAUUAGUGGCGAACGGGUGAGUAACACGUGAGUAACCUGCCCUUAACUCUGGGAUAAGCCUGGGAAACUGGGUCUAAUACCGGAUAGGAGCGCCUACCGCAUGGUGGGUGUUGGAAAGAUUUAUCGGUUUUGGAUGGACUCGCGGCCUAUCCGCUUGUUGGUGAGGUAAUGGCUCACCAAGGCGACGACGGGUAGCCGGCCUGAGAGGGUGACCGGCCACACUGGGACUGAGACACGGCCCAGACUCCUACGGGAGGCAGCAGUGGGGAAUAUUGCACAAUGGGCGAAAGCCUGAUGCAGCGACGCCGCGUGAGGGAUGACGGCCUUCGGGUUGUAAACCUCUUUCAGUAGGGAAGAAGCGAAAGUGACGGUACCUGCAGAAGAAGCACCGGCUAACUACGUGC